CUACGGGAGGCAGCAGUCGAGAAUCUUCGGCAAUGGGGGCAACCCUGACCGAGCGACGCCGCGUGGUGGAUGAAGGCCUUCGGGUUGUAAACACCUGUUGGGGGGGAACAAUUUUGAGUGAACCCCUGAGGAAGCACGGGCUAAGUUCGUGCCAGCAGCCGCGGUAAGACGAACCGUGCAAACGUUACUCGGAAUCACUGGGCUUAAAGCGCGCGUAGGCGGCGGCGUAAGUCAGAGGUGAAAUCCCAUCGGCUCAACCGUGGAAUUGCCUCUGAUACUGCGUUGCUUGAGGGGGAACGGGGCAUCCGGAACUUCCGGUGGAGCGGUGAAAUGUGUUGAUAUCGGAAGGAACGCCGGUGGCGAAAGCGGGAUGCUGGGUCUCUUCUGACGCUGAGGUGCGAAAGCUAGGGUAGCGAACGGGAUUAGAAAACCUAGUAGUCC
rnacentral:rRNA from 1 species